rnacentral:rRNA from 1 species
GAUGAACGCUGGCGGCGUGCCUAAUACAUGCAAGUCGAGCGAACAGACGAGGAGCUUGCUCCUCUGACGUUAGCGGCGGACGGGUGAGUAACACGUGGAUAACCUACCUAUAUGACUGGGAUAACUUCGGGAAACCGGAGCUAAUACCGGAUAAUAUAUUGAACCGCAUGGUUCAAUAGUGAAAGACGGUUUUGCUGUCACUUAUAGAUGGAUUCGCGUCGGAUUAGCUAGUUGGUAAGGUAACGGCUUACCAAGGCAACGAUGCGUAGCUGACCUGAGAGGGUGAUCAGCCACACUGGAACUGAGACACGGUCCAGACUCCUACGGGAGGCAGCAGUAGGGAAUCUUCCGCAAUGGGCGAAAGCCUGACGGAGCAACGCCGCGUGAGUGAUGAAGGUCUUCGGGUCGUAAAACUCUGUUAUUAGGGAAGAAAAAAUGUGUAAGUAACUAUGCACGUCUUGACGGUACCUAAUCAGAAAGCCACGGCUAACUACGUG